rnacentral:lncRNA from 1 species
GGGAAAGCUGUCUGAGACAAUAUGAAAAUCAAUGAUGCCACUCUAGCAUUAGCUGAAGAUCCCCUUGAUUUCAUCCAGCAGCCAAGACACUAAGUGACCCAAAGGAAGAAAAGGGUGAUCAGCGUGGCUGUGUGUCUUUUGAAUAUAAGACAUUCUAAUUAGGGUGAGAUAAUAUCUCACUGUAGUUUUGAUUGGCAUUUCUCUGAUGAACAGUGAUGUUGCGUACAUUUUUAAAUGCUAUUAGAAAGAUUUAAGACUUAUAAAGUUCACAAAUCCCUAGCCUGUUUACUUACAUUCCCAGUCUAAUUUAUUUUAUCAAAAUAAUGUAAUUAUGCAAUACUUCACAUUUUUAAAGCAUUUCUACAUGUACAAUUUUCUCUUCUCAUUAUUUCUUAGUGUACUUCUAUUUUAAUCCAAAACUCAUUGCAUUAAAAAGUUUUAUACAUUUCCCUAUUUUUCUUCCCAAUGGCUUUUUGUUAAUAAUUAUUCUUAAAUAAUGCUGUGGCUUGCUAUUCUAAAAGACCACAAAACAAACAGUUCUGUUUGAUACACUGCUUUCAUGAAGUCUUGAAGACUUCAAUAUUCCGCAACAGUUAACCUCUAGUCUAGUCAGAGGGAGUUAUUUACACAGACUCAAUUAUGACUAAAAAUUCUACUGGGCUCUUCUGAAACUUUAAGACAUCUGUUGAAUAACCAUUCCAAAUUCCAAAUGAAUGACAAGUUACCAGCAUGUCAUGUAAAAUGGGCUUUAGGGCAUAAAAAGCAAAUAAAUCAAGACAUACGUAUGUCAGACAGGAAAACAGAAGUGAGUACAUAAAGAGAUUCUGUGACGAGGAUGGACCACUCAACUCAUAUGUUCAUUGUUUUCCACAUUUCUAUUCCAUAGAAGGAUAUUUGACCUCUUAGUUAAGUUACCAAUACAGAUAAAUUACUAGUGUUUUCAAAGAUGAAGCAGAAUGAAGAUUAAUGCACUGGAUGACUACUGAAGUAUCUAUAUUAAGGAAAAUAUUCAUAUUGAUUCCUAUGCGCAUUAAGAAUUAGAAAAAAUUCUACCACGGUGAGCAUUUAAAGCACCUUGGUAAUGUAUGUAUACACAUACACACACAUGCGCACACACACACGGUUACUAUUGACAUCCAUAUGCUUCCAUUUAUUCAAAUUAGUUACGUGAAUGUCUCCUUUUCCUUCUAGUCUUUUUUUCUUUAAACAAUCAAUAUACAAAUAUAUUUCUAUAAUAUUUCAAAAACACAAGUGUAAAACGUAAAAGGCAUAAAUCCUAUUUACUCCUCCGUGAUCUCAUACCACUCUCCAGAGUUGUUCCUCUCUAGGAAAUUUUCUGUAGGUUUAUGCACACAUAUAUAGUAUUUUGUUUUUAACAUAAAUGGUAUCAUACUCUAAAUAGUGUGACUUUAUCAGGUUCAUCUGUCAGAGAUAUCUGAUUGUUGCAGAUACACAAUAAGCCCUUGGACUACAUGUGCUUAAACUACGCGGGCUCAUGUGUAUGCCGGUUUUUUCUGUCUCUGCCACCCCUGAGACACCCUUCCUCUUCCCCUUCCUUCUCAGCCUGGGAGAUGUCUUUGAACUGUACCACAAGAGAUAUUAAGCUGGCUUGCACUGGUAGGAACGAACCGAUCUGCUUUUAUAACCAGAGUCUGUUCCGAUGAGUUGGCAUCUACAUCAUACCAGGUGUUACAUAUUUUGAAAACCAUUCCUGAUGUACAGUAACAUAAUUCACAAAUCAUUACUAAAAUGUCUCCUUAUCCUAGUUGAUGGAUAGUAGAAAUUUUCUUUGGGUAUUAAGUGUCGCCAAAGAAGAGAACAGGAGUAGAACCAACUUCCUUAUCUUUUUAAGUCCAUCUCACAGUGACUAUAAUGUCUUCUUCAUCAACAUAUCCUUGGUGCCUGGAACAGUGCCUGACCCAUAAUAGAGA